AAAUUGAAGAGUUUGAUCAUGGCUCAGAUUGAACGCUGGCGGCAGGCCUAACACAUGCAAGUCGAACGGUAGCACAGAGAGCUUGCUCUCGGGUGACGAGUGGCGGACGGGUGAGUAAUGUCUGGGAAACUGCCUGAUGGAGGGGGAUAACUACUGGAAACGGUGGCUAAUACCGCAUAACGUCGCAAGACCAAAGAGGGGGACCUUCGGGCCUCUUGCCAUCAGAUGUGCCCAGAUGGGAUUAGCUUGUUGGUGAGGUAACGGCUCACCAAGGCGACGAUCCCUAGCUGGUCUGAGAGGAUGACCAGCCACACUGGAACUGAGACACGGUCCAAGACUCCUACGGGAGGCAGCAGUGGGGAAUAUUGCACAAUGGGCGCAAGCCUGAUGCAGCCAUGCCGCGUGUAUGAAGAAGGCCUUCGGGUUGUAAAGUACUUUCAGCGGGGAGGAAGGUGUUGUGGUUAAUAACCGCAGCAAUUGACGUUACCCGCAGAAGAAGCACCGGCUAACUCCGUGCCAGCAGCCGCGGUAAUACGGAGGGUGCAAGCGUUAAUCGGAAUUACUGGGCGUAAAGCGCACGCAGGCGGUCUGUCAAGUCGGAUGUGAAAUCCCCGGGCUCAACCUGGGAACUGCAUUCGAAACUGGCAGGCUUGAGUCUUGUAGAGGGGGGUAGAAUUCCAGGUGUAGCGGUGAAAUGCGUAGAGAUCUGGAGGAAUACCGGUGGCGAAGGCGGCCCCCUGGACAAAAGACUGACGCUCAGGUGCGAAAGCGUGGGGAGCAAACAGGAUUAGAUACCCUGGUAGUCCACGCCGUAAACGAUGUCUACUUGGAGGUUGUGCCCUUGAGGCGUGGCUUCCGGAGCUAACGCGUUAAGUAGACCGCCUGGGGAGUACGGCCGCAAGGUUAAAACUCAAAUGAAUUGACGGGGGCCCGCACAAGCGGUGGAGCAUGUGGUUUAAUUCGAUGCAACGCGAAGAACCUUACCUGGUCUUGACAUCCACAGAAGAAUCCAGAGAUGGAUUUGUGCCUUCGGGAACUGUGAGACAGGUGCUGCAUGGCUGUCGUCAGCUCGUGUUGUGAAAUGUUGGGUUAAGUCCCGCAACGAGCGCAACCCUUAUCCUUUGUUGCCAGCGGUCCGGCCGGGAACUCAAAGGAGACUGCCAGUGAUAAACUGGAGGAAGGUGGGGAUGACGUCAAGUCAUCAUGGCCCUUACGACCAGGGCUACACACGUGCUACAAUGGCGCAUACAAAGAGAAGCGACCUCGCGAGAGCAAGCGGACCUCAUAAAGUGCGUCGUAGUCCGGAUUGGAGUCUGCAACUCGACUCCAUGAAGUCGGAAUCGCUAGUAAUCGUGGAUCAGAAUGCCACGGUGAAUACGUUCCCGGGCCUUGUACACACCGCCCGUCACACCAUGGGAGUGGGUUGCAAAAGAAGUAGGUAGCUUAACCUUCGGGAGGGCGCUUACCACUUUGUGAUUCAUGACUGGGGUGAAGUCGUAACAAGGUAACCGUAGGGGAACCUGCGGUUGGAUCACCUCCUUA
rnacentral:rRNA from 1 species